rnacentral:misc_RNA from 1 species
UUUCCGUAGGUGAACCUGCGGAAGGAUCAUUGCAACGUUCAUGACAGAAAGGGUAAACUUCCUACACUGGUGUAUUAUUACUUUGUUGCUUUGGCGAGCGCAAGAUGGCCAGAAAAUACCUAAACUCCUUUUAUUGAUGUCAUCUGAGUACUACAUAAUAGUUAAAACUUUCAACAACGGAUCUCUUGGUUCUG